rnacentral:rRNA from 1 species
UCCAGACUCCUACGGGAGGCAGCAGUGAGGAAUAUUGGUCAAUGGCCGGAAGGCUGAACCAGCCAAGCCGCGUGAAGGACGAAGGUGCCAAGCAUUGUAAACUUCUUUUGUCAAGGGACAAAAUCAGGCUCGAGAGCCUGACCGAGGGUACUUGAAGAAAAAGCAUCGGCUAACUCCGUGCCAGCAGCCGCGGUAAUACGGAGGAUGCGAGCGUUAUCCGGAUUUAUUGGGUUUAAAGGGUGCGUAGGCGGUCCGUUAAGUCAGCGGUAAAAUUGCGGGGCUCAACCCCGGCGAGCCGUUGAAACUGGCAGACUUGAGUUGGCGAGAAGUACGCGGAAUGCGCGGUGUAGCGGUGAAAUGCAUAGAUAUCGCGCAGAACUCCGAUUGCGAAGGCAGCGUACCGGCGCCAGACUGACGCUGAGGCACGAAAGCGUGGGGAUCGAACAGGAUUAGAUACCCUUGUA